rnacentral:rRNA from 1 species
UCAAAAACAUGGCUUUCUGCUUAAAGUAAGGAAGGUCGAUUCCUGCCCGGUGGUUUAUCUAAACGGUCGCGUUUUCGCGUUAAAGUAGCAUAAUAGGUCGUCUUUUAAUUGGAGAAUGGAAUGAAUGGAGUGACGAUGGAAAAUCUUUAUUAGAAAUAUAAGUUGAAGUUUAUUUUUAAGUGAAAAGGCUUAAAUUAAGGUGUUAGACGAGAAGACCCUAUUGAGCUUGGUGGUUUUAGGUACAGUGUUACCUUAAAGUAUGUUUGUUCGGGGCAGAGUGGAAGAGAUGUAAUGUCUUCUUAUUUAUAGUAAUUGAUCCAGCAUGGCUGGUAAGAUGAAGAUAGUUACCAUAGGGAUAACAGCGCAAUCUAUUUGGAAAGUUCAAAUUUAAGAAUAGGUUUGCGACCUCGAUGUUGAAUUAAGAUUUCUUCCAGGAGUAGCAGAUUGGUUAGUGGGACUGUUCGUCCCUUAAAAUCUUACGUGAUCUGAGUUCAGACCGGAG